rnacentral:tRNA from 1 species
GCCUCUAUGGCACAGGGGUAAUGCGUGUCACUCGUAUAGUCAAUGAACUUGCGGUGUUAUGACAAGAUCCGCGGUUCGAUUCCGCGUGGAGGCA